GACGAACGCUGGCGGCGUGCCUAACACAUGCAAGUCGAACGGGGUCCAUGGGAGCUUGCUCCCGGAAGACCUAGUGGCGAACGGGUGAGUAACACGUGAGAAACCUGCCCUGGAGUGGGGAAUAACUCGGGGAAACUCGAGCUAAUACCGCAUACCCUCGGAUGGUCGCAUGGCCGACCGAGGAAAGAUUUAUCGCUUCAGGAGGGUCUCGCGGCCUAUCAGCUAGUUGGUGGGGUAACGGCCUACCAAGGCAACGACGGGUAGCUGGUUUGAGAGAACGAUCAGCCACACUGGGACUGAGACACGGCCCAGACUCCUACGGGAGGCAGCAGUGGGGAAUCUUGCGCAAUGGGCGAAAGCCUGACGCAGCAACGCCGCGUGCGGGAUGACGGCC
rnacentral:rRNA from 1 species